AACGAACGCUGGCGGCGCGCCUAACACAUGCAAGUCGAACGAGAAGGCGUAGCAAUACGCUUGUAGAGUGGCGAACGGGUGAGUAAUACGUGGGUGACCUACCCUCGAGUGGGGAAUAACCCGCCGAAAGGCGGGCUAAUGCCGCGUACGCUUCCGUCCUCACGGGGACGGAAGGAAAGCUGUACCGUGGGUACGGCGCUCAAGGAUGGGCUCACGUCCUAUCAGCUUGUUGGUAGGGUAACGGCCACCAAGGCUACGACGGGUAGCUGGUCUGAGAGGACGAUCAGCCACACUGGCACUGCGACACGGGCCAGACUCCUACGGGAGGCAGCAGUGAGGAAUAUUGCGCAAUGGGCGAAAGCCUGACGCAGCGACG
rnacentral:rRNA from 1 species